rnacentral:rRNA from 1 species
AGCGAACGCUGGCGGCAGGCUUAACACAUGCAAGUCGAGCGGGCCUUUCGGGGUCAGCGGCGGACGGGUGAGUAACGCGUGGGAACGUGCCCUCUGGUUCGGAAUAACUCAGGGAAACUUGAGCUAAUACCGGAUACGCCCUUUUGGGGAAAGGCUUGCUGCCGGAGGAUCGGCCCGCGUCUGAUUAGCUAGUUGGUGAGGUAACGGCGCACCAAUGCGACGAUCAGUAGCUGGUUUGAGAGGAUGAUCAGCCACACUGGGACUGAGACACGGCCGAGACUCCUACGGGAGGGAGCAGUAGGGAAUAUUGGAAAAUGGGCGCAAGCAUGAUCCAGCCAUGACGCGUGAGUGAUGAAGGCCUUAGGGUUGUAAAGCUCUUUUAUCCGGGACGAUAAUGACGGUACCGGAGGAAUAAGCCCCGGCUAACUUCGUG